UAUUAGAUUGGAUUCAAACCGACAACAGCUGGAUGUAACAUCAUUGGCUCAGUGACAACUUCCCCCUGAGAACAUCCCAUUUGAAGCCUUGCUAUGGCCAGGAAGCAGCAACCAUCUGAGCUGUCAGCCCGUCUGAACAGACGCGAGGGAGACUAACUGAUGUCUUCAUCCCUGACCGUGGCCCUCCUAGACUGCUGUUAUUGUUAGAGGAGAAAUUAGCCUUCAGUUCGCCUGGCU